AUGGCAAGUUCAGCUGAGCGUGCCAAGCAAGUCGAGGACUUGAUGAAGCUAUGGGGAGACCGGUACUUUGACCCAGCCAAUGACAAGUUCAGCAAGUCAGCCAAUAGCCCAGAUGGGAAGAAACGUUCUCGAACCUUCUACUGGCUCAUCUUGGACUCCAUUUUCAAGGUGUUUGAUGCCAUCAUGAACUUCAGGAAGGAGGAGACAGCCAAGCUGAUUGAAAAGCUGGAUAUCAAGCUGGUCAGCGAGGAUAAGGACAAGGAGCAAGCAAACCGCUGCUCAAGGCUGGGAUGUGCUGCUGGCUGCCCACACGGGGAUACCCUGCUCCAGAUGAUCAGCAUCCCUUUUCCAUCCCCUGUCACUGCACAGAAGUACCGUUGUGAGUUGCUGUACAAGGGGCCACCUGAUGAUGAGGCCACCAUGGGUAUUAAGAGUUGUGACCCCAAAGGCCCCCUUAUGAUGUACAUUUUCAAGAUGGUGCCAACCUCUGACAAAGGCUGCUUCUAUGCCUUUGGUAGAAUGCUCUCUGGGGUGGUGUCCACGGGCCUGUAGUUCUGGAUCAUGGGCCCCAACUACAUGCCUGAGAAGAAAGAGGACCUGUACCUGAAGCCUAUCCAAAGAACCAUUCUGAUAAUGGGCCACUACGUGCAGACAACUGAGGAUGCACCCUGUGGAAACAUUGUGGGGCUGGUCGGAGUGGACCAGUUCCUUGUGAAGACCGGGACCAUCACCACCUUUGAGCACGCUCACAAUAUGCGUGUGAUGAAGUUCAGUGUCAGCCCUGUCGUCAGGGUGGCAAUGGAGACCAAGAACCCAGCUGACCAGCCCAAGCUGGUGGAGGAGCUGAAGUGGUUGGCUAAGUCUGACCCUGUGGUGCAGUGCAUCCUUGAGGAGUCUGGAGAGCACAUUAUUGCUGGCACCUGGAGAUCUGCCUUAAGGGCCUGGAAGAGGACCAUGCCUGCAUCCCCAUCAAGAAAUCUGACCCUGUCGUGUCAUACUGGGAGACAGUAAGGAGUCCAAUGUGCUAUGUCUGUCUAAGUCCCCAAAUAAGCACAACCGGCUACACAAGAAGGCCAGGCCCUUCCCUGAUGGCCUGACAGAGGGCAUCCAUAAGGGUGAGGUGUCUGCGCCCGCCAGGAGCUCAAAGCAUGUGCCCACUACAUGGCUGAAAAGUAUGAGAGGGAUGUUGCUGAAGCCCACAAGAUCUGGUGCUUCGGCCCUGAUGGCACUGGCCCCAACAUUCUCACCAACAUCACCAAGGGUGUGCAGUACCUGAAUGAGAUCAAGGACAGUGUGGUGGCCGGCUUCCAGUGGGCUAUGAAGGAGGGCGCUCUUUGUGAGGAGAACAUUCAUGGUGUGCGAUUUGAUGUCCAUGAUGUGACCCUGUAUGCGGAUGCCAUCCACCAGGGAGGUGGCCAGAUCAUCCCCACGGCAUGUUGCUCUAUGCCAGUGUGCUGACCGCACAGCCCCGCCUCAUGGAGACCAUCUAUCUGGUGGAGAUCCAGUGUCCUGAGCAAGUGGUGGGUGGCAUCUACGGUGUCCUGAACAGGAAGUGUGGCCAUGAAUUUGAGGAGUCCCAGUUGGCUGGUACCCCCAUGUUCAUGGUCAAGGCAUAUCUGCCUGAUCUUCCAUCUAACGUUGGUGGCCUGGCCUUCCCCCAGUGCAUGUUUGACCACUGGCAGAUCCUGCCUGGGGACCUCUUUGACAACAGCAGCUGCCCCAGCCAAGUGGUAGCUGAGACCCGCUAGCACAAAGGCCUGAAGGAAGGCAUCCCAGAGCUGGACAACUUCCUAGACAAACUGUAG